rfam:Kyrpidia tusciae DSM 2912, complete genome.
GCUCCCAUAGCUCAGUUGGCAGAGCGCAUCCAUGGUAAGGAUGAGGUCACCAGUUCGAGCCUGGUUGGGAGCU